UACAGAAAUGUUUUGAGCCAGUAUCGUAUUCGCUAGAGAGUGACAAACUUUCAGGCAGUUUAGUGAAAAUUUGUGCCAGAUAUCCUUUGCUUUACCAUCAAUAGAGCAUUACCAUUAGUUCAAGAGAUUAAGGUGUUAAGGUCCUGCUUAAAACAGGAAACAUCAGUAAAGUCUUACUGUUCUACAGCUAUCUUGAAUGCUCAGCAACUACCAGUACAAUUUGCGUCACAGAGCUUGCAAAUGAGUUUUGGAACUCUGCUUUGCAAGGCAGCCUUUGUACCGACAGUUCGGUGUGGACAGUGCUUCUGAACUUCAGGCAUACUUUGCUAGUGGAGAUAGGGCGAGAAAUGCAAGUUCCAAUUACACCACUAAGUACAUAGAGAAUCCAGUCCAUACCACAGUGACACUAUUCUAAGGAGGCUGCAGGAAGCCUGUUAACUUCAUUUGAUGUACUGUGGUGACCUCGUUAGAAGUCUCUGUUCAGCUGCUGAUUUGACAUACUCAGUGUAAAAUUUGACAUACUCAUGGUAAAAUUUGAAGUGUCUGCUAGAUUUCAAGAGAGCUUGUGUUAUAUUAUCUCGAUGAGGAAUACUUCUGCAAAACAAAUAAAUACCAAUUCCCUGCUUCCACCUCCACAUGCAUACACACAUAGCACUAACAAAUGCACAGGCAGUAUCACAUUGUUGGAUAAUUCUAAGUAGGACUACAAAAGAGCAAAGAUCCAGUGGAAAUAUCAGUAUCAAGUCAUGGUUUAGAGCUCUAACUGCAGACUAUUUAACUGAUCACAGGGAAGAAAAAAACCACACCAAAACACAAAGCUUCAUGUUUGAAGAACUUACAGAACCCC